rnacentral:rRNA from 1 species
GACGAACGCUGGCGGCGUGCUUAACACAUGCAAGUCGAACGGAAAGGCCCUGCUUUUGUGGGGUGCUCGAGUGGCGAACGGUUGAGUAACACGUGAGUAACCUGCCCUUGACUUUGGGAUAACUUCAGGAAACUGGGGCUAAUACCGGAUAGGAGCUCCUGCUGCAUUGUGGGGGUUGGAAAGUUUCGGCGGUUGGGGAUGGACUCGCGGCUUAUCAGCUUGUUGGUGGGGUAGUGGCUUACCAAGGCUUUGACGGGUAGCCGGCCUGAGAGGGUGACCGGCCACAUUGGGACUGAGAUACGGCCCAGACUCCUACGGGAGGCAGCAGUGGGGAAUAUUGCACAAUGGGCGGAAGCCUGAUGCAGCAACGCCGCGUGCGGGAUGACGGCCUUCGGGUUGUAAACCGCUUUCGCCUGUGACGAAGCGUGAGUGACGGUAAUGGGUAAAGAAGCACCGGCUAACUACGUG